rnacentral:rRNA from 1 species
CUUUAAGACCAUAUCACACUGAAUUCACCAGUUCUCAUCUGAUCACUAAAGUUAAGUUAUGUUGAGCCUAGUUAAUACUUAGAUGGAUAACCACUUGAAAAACCUAGAUGCUGUAAGCA